CUUCUGUGGUAAAGAAAAAUAUAAAAAUUGUUUAGGAACUGUAAUAUAAUUUUAAAAAAAAAUUCCUCUCUGCCUUUGUAAUAUACAGUAUGCUGGAAGACUUUCUUGACAUCAUACAGAACGGGUUCAGAAUACAACAGAAGCAGGAAACAUCAAAAAUCACUGUUAACCGUAGAGCAUCGGUUUACAAUUCUUGCAAAAAUCAAGUUAUGAUUUAUGUGUAUGUUGUUAUAAAAACAAUCAAACAGACAUAAAUGUAAUCUGUUAAACUCAGUCUAUUUUGCAUUCAAAGAUUGCUUUAAAUAAAGAGACAGGUGAUUUAUUUGAGCAGAGCUUGUUUUCUGCCUCCACUAUUUGGAAAGUCUAAUACGAAAAUACUUAUAUAUAUAUACUAUUUUAUAUUAAACAAAAAAACUGCUGCAAUGAAAAUCUCCUUUUGAUUUAUUGUGCCUUAAUUUACUAUUAAUUUCAUUCAUAAUUAUUCACUUACUGAACGCUAUUAUAAAAGUAUAUACGUUUGUUUAUGUUAAAUAAAAGAUAAACAUGAGAAAAGAGUCGUAUCUUCCCUUAAAAUGCAUCUUGAACAAUCGGGUCCCACCUAGCGAGGACCCCUAAGAUGGCGGCCAUCGCGAUGCCUGUGCGCAAGUCGGAACGGAGGCACUUGUCACGAAGGACACAAGACAGAAGCUCUGUCCCAGAUGCUCUCGAGUUACGUUGAGACUGAGGAUUCCCCAAUCUUCCACAAUGGACUUCACAUAGGAUGAACUGUUUCCAGUUUCAGCAAAACAGCAAGAAUUUAUGAAUGGAUGACUGCACCUUAGCACUCUUCACUGCCACUGCUUGCCUCACCUGGGCCACAGAGAAAACAAUGUUGCUGCCUGUACAUGGCACAUUUAACCUCUAACCUUACAGCUGAAUCAAUGCAGUAACACUGUUAACUACCAAUGAUAUUGUACCAAAUGUUCAGACUGAAUAUACAGAGGAGAACUGGUCCCCAGUGUUUUUGGUUAGUCUGGUUUCUCCAAAGGUUUUUUUUACUCCAGUAUCGACAUCUUACAGUUUUUUCUUAAUUAACCACCGUUGCCUUUGGCUUGCUUGCUGUAUGUAUGACGACUAAUGCAUUUAACACCAACUAUUAAAACAGUGAGGGUGUUUUUGACCACAUAGACACAACAGUAUGUCUUUCUGUAAAGAUUCUUUGAAAAUGUUAUUCAUUUUGAAAAAUGUAUAAAUGUCUUACAUAGAUAGUGUGCAUAUUGCUUGAACAUUUAUAUGUAAAAAAAUUGUGUAGAAUUAUAUUAUAAUUGCAAGUUAUAAUUAACAAUUAUAAACUAGCUGCAUUUUUAGUUACUUUCAGUGCACAAACAGCCAUUAUUGCCUUACUAUUACUGAUUUGUAAUAGUACAAGUAACUGUUGUACUAUUAUAUGUACUGUGUUAUAUGAGUUAAAGUCAAUUACAAUUGUAAUUUCGUCAUCAUAAUGUGAUAAUUGCUGUAUGAUUUUCUUUGAAAACAAUAGUUUCUUAAAUAAUAUACAAUCAGCAAUUGCAAUACAUGAACUGCUUGUAAGCAAAACCAUAUAUAACAACAUAAGUAUACUUAUUACAAUAUUGAAAAUAAUGUAAAAAAUUACAUGAAUUAGGUAGUAAGUCAAAAUAAAUAAAAAUCAAAGUGUG